rnacentral:rRNA from 1 species
GACGAACGCUGGCGGCGUGCCUAAUACAUGCAAGUUGAGCGAUGAAGAUUGGUGCUUGCACCAAUUUGAAGAGCAGCGCACGGGUGAGUAACGCGUGGGGCAUCUGCCUUUGAGCGGGGGACAACAUUUGGAAACGAAUGCUAAUACCGCAUAACAACUUUAAACAUAAGUUUUAAGUUUGAAAGAUGCAAUUGCAUCACUCAAAGAUGAUCCCGCGUUGUAUUAGCUAGUUGGUGAGGUAAAGGCUCACCAAGGCGAUGAUACAUAGCCGACCUGAGAGGGUGAGCGGCCACAUUGGGACGGAGACACGGCCCAAACUCCUACGGGUGGCAGCAGUAGGGAAUCUUCGGCAAUGGACGAAAGUCUGACCGAGCAACGCCGCGUGAGUGAAGAAGGAUUUCGGAUCGUAAAACUCUGUUGGUAGAGAAGAACGUUGGUGAGAGUGGAAAGCUCAUCAAGUGACGGUAACGACCCAGAAAGGGACGGCUAACUACGUG